rnacentral:rRNA from 1 species
UACGAAGGGGGCUAGCGUUGUUCGGAAUCACUGGGCGUAAAGCGCACGUAGGCGGAUCUUUAAGUCAGGGGUGAAAUCCCGAGGCUCAACCUCGGAACUGCCUUUGAUACUGGGGAUCUCGAGUCCGGGAGAGGUGAGUGGAACUGCGAGUGUAGAGGUGAAAUUCGUAGAUAUUCGCAAGAACACCAGUGGCGAAGGCGGCUCACUGGCCCGGAACUGGACGCUGAGGUGCGAAAGCGUGGGGAGCAACAGGGAUUAAGAAACCCCAGUACGUC